GUAGGGAAUAUUGGGCAAUGGGCGCAAGCCUGACCCAGCAACGCCGCGUGAGGGAAGAAGGUUUUCGGAUUGUAAACCUCUGUCCUAUGUGACGAAGGAAGUGACGGUAGCAUAGGAGGAAGCCCCGGCUAACUACGUGCCAGCAGCCGCGGUAAUACGUAGGGGGCGAGCGUUGUCCGGAAUUACUGGGCGUAAAGGGUGCGUAGGCGGUUUGGUAAGUUGGAUGUGAAAUACCCGGGCUUAACUUGGGGGCUGCAUCCAAUACUGUCGGACUUGAGUGCAGGAGAGGAAAGCGGAAUUCCUAGUGUAGCGGUGAAAUGCGUAGAUAUUAGGAGGAACACCGGUGGCGAAGGCGGCUUUCUGGACUGUAACUGACGCUGAGGCACGAAAGCGUGGGGAGCAAACAGGA
rnacentral:rRNA from 1 species